rnacentral:rRNA from 1 species
AGAGUUUGAUUAUGGCUCAGGAUGAACGCUGGCGGCGUGCCUAAUACAUGCAAGUCGAACGAGGUAGCAAUACCGAGUGGCGAACGGGUGAGUAACACGUAGGUAACCUGCCCUUAAGCUUGGGAUACCCAGAGGAAACUUUGGCUAAUACCGGAUAACAACAGAGAAGGCAUCUUCUUUGCUUGAAAGGCCCCUUCAAGGGUCACUUAAGGAUGGACCUGCGGCGCAUUAGCUAGUUGGUGAGAUAACAGCCCACCAAGGCGAGGAUGCGUAGCCGAACUGAGAGGUUGAUCGGCCACAUUGGAACUGAGACACGGUCCAAACUCCUACGGGAGGCAGCAGUAAGGAGUUUUCGGCAAUGGGGGAAACCCUGACCGAGCAACGCCGCGUGAGCGAUGACGGCCCUAUGGGUUUGUAAAGCUCUGUUGUAAGCCAUGAAUGACAGCUUGAGGAAAUGCAAGUUGUUUGACGACAGCUUACCAGAAAGCCACGGCUAACUACGUGCCAGCCGCUGC